CCUACGGGGGGCAGCAGUGAGGAAUAUUGGUCAAUGGGCGCGAGCCUGAACCAGCCAAGUAGCGUGAAGGAUGACUGCCCUACGGGUUGUAAACUUCUUUUAUAAAGGAAUAAAGUGAGGCCCGUGUGCCUUUUUGUAUGUACUUUAUGAAUAAGGAUCGGCUAACUCCGUGCCAGCAGCCGCGGUAAUACGGAGGAUCCGAGCGUUAUCCGGAUUUAUUGUGUUUAAAGGGAGCGUAGGUGGAUUGUUAAGUCAGUUGUUAAAGUUUGCGGCUCAACCGUAAAAGUGCAGUUGAAACUGGCAGUCGUGAGUAGAGGAGAGGUGGGCGGAAUGCGUGGUGUAGCGGUGAAAUGCUUAGAUAUCACGAAGAACUCCGAUUGCGAAGGCAGCUCACUGGA
rnacentral:rRNA from 1 species